rnacentral:tRNA from 1 species
GCACCAAUGGUUUAGUGGUAGAAUAGUAUCCUGCCACAGUACAGACCACGGUUCGAUUCCUAGAUGGUGCA